rnacentral:tRNA from 1 species
GGGUCGCUAGCUCAGCUGGUAGAGCAGUUGCCUCUUAAGCAAACGGUCCCGGGUUCGAGCCCCGGGCGACCCA